rnacentral:rRNA from 1 species
CCUACGGGAGGCUGCAGUGAGGAAUAUUGGUCAAUGGGCGUAAGCCUGACCCAGCCAAGUCGCGUGAGGGAUGAAGGUUCUAUGGUUCGUAAACCUCUUUUAUAAGGGAAUAAGGUGUCGGUGGUGUUCUAUUUUGUAUGUACCUUACGAACAAGGAUCGGCUCACUCCGUGCCAGCCGCCGCGGUAAUACGGAGGGUGCGAGCGUUAAUCGGAAUUACUGGGCGUAAAGUGCUCGUAGGCGGUAUGGCAAGUCAAGGGUGAAAUCCCCGCGCUCAACGUGGGAACUGCCUUUGAAACUGGCAAACUGGAGUGUGUGAGAGGAUAGUGGAAGUCCAGGUGUAGGAGUGAAAUCCGUAGAUAUCUGGAGGAACAUCAGUGGCGAAGGCGACUAUCUGGCACAUAACUGACGCUGAGGAGCGAAAGCGUGGGUAGCAAACAGGAUUAGAUACCCGAGUAGUC